CAGAGAAGAAACUGCAGAACCGGCCAAUGGCACAGCCUUACAGAGACAAUCCAGCUGCUACCCAAGUCCACUAUUGCAGAGUGUUGAUACACAGGUAAUAUUCUAGCACUCUGAGAAUAUUGCAUUCCUAGCUGUAUUUUAUAGGUGUUCUGUCAUGUCAUAAACAUUCCACUAAUCUCAGCUUACUUUCAGAAGAGGCUACAUUAUUAGGAUUGGAAGAGGGACACCAUGUUGGUCAGGGAGGGCCCCGGCUACAUUGAAGAAUAACAAUCAUUGUGGAUUAUCCAUCACCAGGACAGUGAGGCUCUGAUGGGAAUGAUCAUCCAUGAGAUGCUACAGUACCUGUUCUACUUGAUCUUGUCCCAUGUCAAGUUGGUAACAAGGGGUCUACCUGAAGGAAGAUGUAGAACUUGUAAUGGCCGGGGGUGGUUGCGCAAUGGCUCCCAAAGUGUGAUGUCUUUCCUGCAGUCUGCAUGCGUGUAUCUACAAGCAAUAUGUAAGUCUGCAAUGGCACCUCUACACCUGGCAUGGAAACAGGUGUUUCGCCAGUUUGAAGAUCCCAGUCUUAUGACUUACAUAGGGGUCCUACUGUACAAUAGUACAAAUGUUUUAGUUCUCAUACUUCUCUUCAACCUUGUAUGGUACAAUGACUAUGUCCAGUGUGAUAGCUCUUCACUUAGUUUGCAAUGUACCUUUCUCAUUGUUCCUUUUGUGAAGGGCCACUUCUGUGGCCAGCAUACAUCAGCCUAUCGGCAAAAACUCAAAGAAAUGUAUGAAUGUUGCAAGACACUCAGAAAGAAAAAGACAAGGGCAGAGUUGAAGAGAUGCAUCUCCUUUGCAAAUGUCAGGUACACCGAUGUACGGAACUGCAUCAUAGUAUCUUUGGGUUUUGAACUGUUACAGUGGGCAAUCAUUUUCUAUUGUACUGCUACAGGAGUCCUUAAUGUUACCACACUCCCCACAUUAUUCACUUUUCAGCUGAUCAUUUUGUUUCUCCACAGUUGUUACCUUGUAGCUCAUUUAUGGCUUUACUACCAUGACUCUACUAUGUACACUCUCAUACAAAUGAACAGAUUCCACUAUCCAGAAUUGAUGGAAGACAGUAAUUUUCACACUUAUCAUAAGGAGUUGAUAAACUUUGUGGGUUGGUACUAUAAGACAGGACAGUUCAAGUAGAUGAUUUUUGUUUCUCAUACACUUCGAGUUUUUUAGUUGAUUGUACCUUAAAAGGUGCAUGAAAUUUACUGAAAAGUAUUUCCUGUUUUCAUGUUAAGGAAAUCCUUUGUAGUAAAUUUCCAAGUUCCGUAAUGUUAUCUCUAAUCCUCAAUCAACUGUUAUACCCCAAACAAUAACAGCCCACUUCAGUGCCAAGCAUUGGCAUGCGGCAAAGAUCAUGAUGGUCAUGAUAAUACUCAGCAAAUCUGCCAAGUAGCAAUACAUUUCUAAGGAGGUAAACAGUUUUCCCUUAAUAAGGGAUGUUUCUUUAGUUAGGCUUAUCACUAUCAGGACAUGUCAUACAUGUUAUGAGCUAUACUUUGUGGACUAAGAAAAAGUCUUCAUCUUUAAAAUGCAGCCUUAUCUCAAUAAGAGAUGUUUUGAUCUCAUGAAUGGCUCGUGUGUACAGUUAUCAACAUUUUGAUGCAUGUAUAAAAGGUAUUUACCGCAAGCCAAAAAAGUAAUAUAAAUUUUAUAAAUCGUAAUGUGUUUCUUAAGAUGCAGAGCACUAUGUAAAUAAUACUUUUAUAUACUGUUAGUAAGUUGUACAUAUAACGUUACAUGUAUAUAUCAUGUACUGCAAAUAUAUACAGUGCAUAGCAUUGUCAGUUGCAGCUUUCAAAAAAAUAUUGUAAUGGUCUUUAAGACCAGACUAUAUCUCAUGUAACGUACAGAAUGUGUGGCUACUUUGAAUCUUUUACAAUGACUGUGUCAUUUUGUAUUCAUGUAUAAUAUAUGAUAUGUAUAUGAUAAUCAUAAUAUACGUAAUUAUACAAAAUUGAUGACAAGAAAAGCAAGUUUUUGAACAAGUUUGAGGAAUAAGCCUUUGGUUCUGUAGAUGCAGGCUAAGUUAACAUACUAUACAAAAGACAUCGUACGGUUGUAUGAUGGUAAGUUUUGUGCUUUUGGACAAACUUGAAUAAAAUAUGA